rnacentral:rRNA from 1 species
AACACCGAUGGCGAAGGCAGUCCCCUGGGAUAAGACUGACGCUCAUGCACGAAAGCGUGGGGAGCAAACAGGAUUAGAUACCCUGGUAGUCCACGCCCUAAACGAUGUCUACUAGUUGUUGGGGUAGCAAUACCUCAGUGACGCAGCUAACGCGUGAAGUAGACCGCCUGGGGAGUACGGUCGCAAGAUUAAAAACUCAAAAGGAAUUGACGGGGGCCCGCACAAGCGGUGGAUUAUGUGGAUUAAUUCGAUGCAACGCGAAAAAACCUUACCUGGCCUUGACAUGCCACUAACGAAGCAGAGAUGCAUUAGGUGCCCGAAAGGGAAAGUGGACACAGGUGCUGCAUGGCUGUCGUUAGCUCGUGUCGUGAGAUGUUGGGUUAAGUCCCGCAACGAGCGCAACCCUUGCCGAUAGUUGCUACAUUCAGUUGAGCACUCUAUUGGGACUGCCGGUGACAAACCGGAGGAAGGUGGGGAUGACGUCAAGUCCUCAU